AAAGUUCCGACGGUGAUGGAUGAACAUGCGACUGAUUAGUUUGUUGGUGAGGUAACGGCUCACCAAGACUACGAUCAGGUAGGGGUACUGAGAGGUUAAACCCCCACACUGGUACUGAGACACGGACCAGACUCCUACGGGAGGCAGCAGUAAGGAAUAUUGGACAAUGGCCGCAAGGCUGAUCCAGCCAUGCCGCGUGCAGGAAGACGGACCUAUGGUUUGUAAACUGUCUUUGAACGGGAACGAAAACCCCCUACGUGUAGGGGGCUGAUAGUACUGUUAGAAUAAGCAUCGGCUAACUUCGUG
rnacentral:rRNA from 1 species